rnacentral:lncRNA from 1 species
GUGAAGCUCUACUGCUCCUGGAUUCCAAGUGAUUUCAGGGCUACCUUAGGGUUAGGUAGGACAAUGGUUGGAGACUUGUGGGCUAGGCUUACGUCCCUAUCAAUCCUUUAUCUUGGUAGCCUGAGUUUUGAAGGGAGAUGACCUCAAAUUUUAAGGUACUCAUACAAUUAAAGGGAGAGCAAGGAUCAAAAAAGGCAGGGAAAGCAUCUCCGAAGGCCCGAAAUGCUGACAAUGUCCGUGUAUUUCAAGUGCCUCUGUCUCUCCAAGUGAUAUCUCCACCAUGUACCACACAGCAAGAAGGCCCUUGCCAGACAUCAGAAUCAUGCCCUCGACUUUCCGUCAUCCAGAAUCAUAAAUGUAAGAGC